rnacentral:lncRNA from 1 species
UCGGUGCACCCGGUGCAUAACGGACGGAUGUAUCAUAAUACUAUAAAAAUAUAUAUAUAUAUAUAUAUAUAUAUAAUUGAGCUUCUAUACUUUUAAAAGUACCAAAUCAUUGGUACUUGUAAGUUUUCGGCGCUUGGAUUAAAGGAUGUGCGGUUAGGAUAAUGUGAGCCCCUAGGGUUGAGUGGAUAGUUGGUUGAAUAGUAUAAUCUAACAGAUAAAAAUGAUCAAAAACGUAAAUUUAAUGGUAAAAAAUUUAUAAGCACCUCGUGCUUGGUGCUUUUACAAGCACCAUAACCGGACUCUAUAUAUAUAUAUAAAUUUUAUAUUUUUUAAUAUAUAGACAUUUAAAAUACUAAAAAAUAAAUUUAAUUAAUUAAAUUUUAUUUUUGACAUUUAACACACAUACACUAGGUGCAGGCAAUAAUUCUAUAUCUUUUAUUUAUCUAUUAAAGUGAGUGGGUGCUCUCCUAUAGUUGACACAUGUUCCCAACUAUACAUUUUGGUGCACCCGAUGCACCGCGGGUGCACCAUAUAUAUAUAUAUAUAUAUAUAUAUAUAUAUAUAUAUAUAUUAUUAUAAUAAUAAUAAUAGAGUUACUAGGUGUGUAUGAGAUAUAUAUACAUAUAAAUACACUAGGUGCAGUCAAUGAGUUCGUCUAAAAAUUACUUUAAAUUCGACCCUUACCUUUAACUAUUUUGAUUUGAGCUAUUAUUCUAAAUAAAUUAGUUGAAAGAUUUGUUAGAUUUAAUAGUUUUUUUGCCUAUCAACUGUUAAAUCAAUUAGAAUACGCCCCAACUUUUUGUCAAUUAUCUAUUGUAAAUUCUAAUUUUAGAAAAAUUAUAUUUAAUUUCUUCAACAUUUUUAUAUUUUUGAGAAUUAUUUUGUACUUAAUUUUACUAAAGUUAGAAAUUUCUUACAAAAAUCAAAUAACCGUCCUUCUAUUUCAUCAUAAUAUUUUUAAUUCUUAACAAUAGUGCAUGCAUUGAUUAACAAAAAUAACGUAAAUAGAGUUAGAAGAAUAUGAAUUAAAAAAAUAAUAAAUCAAGAAUAUGUAUUUUUUAGACAAAUUGGCUUAAAAAUAAACAUAUUACGAAUUUAAUUUUUUUACUUCAAAAAAUUUUAUAUUUUAAUAUCGAAUAUUGAUACAAAUAUAUUGAAUAAAAAUAUAUAUUAUAUUUUAUAAAUAUAAUUAUUAUAUUUAUAAUAAAGAGCGGGUACAUGGCUAAUUUAAUUUGAACUCCAAAAAGGAUCGGUGAAUUGAGAAACGACGCGGUGCGUAAUGCGUUCGUGCGUACGUGGUGAAUAAGUAGCAGCAAGACACGUGGUGAGGGCGACUCGGAGCAAGCAAGUGUGUGGGACCGCGUCUGCAUGAGCUACGGGGUUAAGGUGGUGGGCUCCCACACGCGUAGCUAGGGCCCUAGGAUUGGGGCGUACGAGGGAGGAGGCCCCAACGGCUUCCGAUCAAUCCAUUUCGUGUGUGUGCGCACCGGAAAGCGGGCCUCGCGAUUCUCGGGCGGCAAUCCCCGAAAGCGACCGGCAACGCACGCUCCCGCGAGUUUCCAAUCACCCACCGACCCAUCCAUCCAUCCAUCCAUUCGUCCAUCCGUUUAUUAUCCAUUCUAUUCUAUUCUAUUCUAUUCUAUUCUAUAAUAACAGAUAGUAAGUAUAUACUUACUACCAGCCCGGCCAGGCACGUGCGACUCGCAGCCCGACACGUGUGCGGCCCUUUCCUCCCAGCUGGAUCGUACAGCCGCUGUGGGCCCCUGCGACGGCCACGUCGGAUGGCCAUCUCAUUCGCCACAAGCUGUCACGAAUCCGGCUGAAGACGUCUUUCUCUCUGGGACACCCCGCCCGACUUCUGCCGCGCGAAUCCCGGAGGCCUUCGCACGGCCCAGGUGAGCUGACACGAAGUCGGCGAACUCAAAUCAAUUAUUACGCAGCUUCGGACCCGGUGGAGGAGGAAAAGUCCACAAAAAUUAUGAUGGCUUUUACCAUAGUAUCAAUAAUAUAAUUAUUAUAUUUUAAUUUUUCUCGAAAAAAAAUUUUAAUUUAUUUUUGAAUAUUUAUAAUUUUUGUAUAUAUAAUUAUUUAUGUUAUCUUAUGGGUGAAAUAUUAUACAUUCUAUAUGUGUGUAUAUCUAAACAUCCUGUAUAUCUAGACGUUUGUGUAAUUUAUCGAUCAAGAAUAAUUAUUCGGAAUGCAAAUUUCUUUUUGUGGUUGGAAGCAAGAGGCUUGAUUUGUCCUUCUUAAGAGGUCUUAAUAUCUAUAAAUUAUUAGAAUAUCAUAUUAUAACUAUGCUUGAUCACACUCCCAAAUAUCAAAUAUUAGAAAUUUCUUAAGCUAAUUAAAAUGGUACUCCAAAUAGAGCAUUCAUACAAUAUUCCAAGAGGACCUAAAUCACUGCACGAAUCAUGAGGCUUUCCUUGGAUCAUUGUAGGAUCCGAAAUCACUGCAAGAGUUGUUUAUAUGCAAACAAUGCGAAUUAGAACCUUAAUUACACUUCUAUUGGUGUAUGUAUAAAUUCCUUUAGCUAAAUUUGAUUCUAAAAUAAGCAGAAUUUUCAAUAUAUAGUGUUGCUAUUUGUUUCUUGUUGGCAUGCCGCCAUGCAUGAUGAACAUUCUGUCAAUCUCGCUACAAGAAACUUAAAGUAUUUUAUGAUUAAUUAAUAUAUUUUAUUUUGAAAAGUAUUUGUACUGUACAGUAACUAAAAAGGUAAUAACAUUGCAGACCUCAGUAAAUUCAUCAAGAUUAUCGUUCCGUGUAUCGUACUCAUCAUCUAGAUAUCAGGUAGGAGACCAUAAAUAAUUGAAUAAAUAAAUAAAUAAAUAAGGCACAUAAAUUACUUUAAGUUUCUUAGGAUUAACAGAGUAACAAGUAAUCCAAUUAUUGUCUUUUGGUUUCCUACGAAGAUCAAAUCUACCUUUUUACCCAUGUGGUGAGGUACUUGUGGUCGCAAUUCAUUAAGCCACUGAUUUGGAAGUUUGUUCAAUAAUUAAGACGCCUCCGCAAGCGUGCGGCGCGCGCGCGCGCGCGAGAGAGAGAGAGAGAGAGAGAGGGGGAGAGGGAGGGAGAAAACCGCUUUGAGUUUUCUACUUUCUUUUUUUUCAAGAUAUAAUUUNGGGCGGGGCCGGGUUGGUGUGGGGGAGAGAAAUUAAUUUUGCAAUAAUAAAUUAAGGUCCCGUCCGUGGAAUCGUGGAUGGGAGGUGCUGCUUGUUCAUCGCAUUAUCUCUUAAUCCAACUUUUCUUGAGGCUGCACAUUAUUAGCCAUAAAGAAGACAGCUACCUGUGACAAGAAAGAGUAACCGUCGCUUAAUAAUCGUGCUCUUUAACUUUAACCCCGCUAAUCCGACCCGUCCCUGUCCGAAUCUACCAUAAGAUCUAGCCUAGCAUAAUUUGGCUUUAUUGAUACUUGCGCCAGUAAAUUCAUGCAGCAGCGCGCAUAAGAUCUCCUCACGCCCCGCGACGGACGAAAAACAGAACAUCAAAAGAGGUUAAUAGAAGUGUUGUUGGCACACUACUUUUAUUCCGGGUGAAACUUUGCUUUGUCUGGCUCCAAACUUUACAAAUCAGAUCACUUCGUUUAGUGGAACAUCGCAGUCAUGCUUCAUCACUCCCUACGUCAGUGGAAGGAAAUAUUAGGCGUGCAAAUACGUCAACUUGCAUCGUUCCUUAAGCUACGCGUGUAUUCCUGUUCUUAAGAAAGCAGUGCUUGCUCACACGGCGUCAAAGCAUUCGCUCUGAUCUUGCCGUUUCAAUUGCAGGCGAGGAAGCCUCAUCUAAGUCAAGAAAAUAUGGAGAAAGUAAUCAGAUCGAAAUCCCAGGCAACCGUAGACUAUAGUUUCUGUUUGCACAUAAGGAUCUUUUCGUCCAAAUGCACAAUCUGUGGCUUUAACUGAAAGUGAUGCGCCAAAAAAGAACCAAAAGAGACCACAUUAUACAGUUUAGAAAUGGCCAGAAUCCAGAGAAUUUAACAUAUCACUCAUAUUUGCCUUGAUAUGUCAUUAUGCCAUGCCGACAAUGCCAACUUUGAAACAGCAAAGGAAAAAUUAUCAUAUGAAGAUCUUGAAAGGACGCGAGAGACCGGGUCGAAUAAAAAUGCACAGAGAUAGAAAACUAUUAGAAGAUAAGGGUUCGAAAGAUUCCAGGACACUAAACAACAGAAGGGGCGGCUAAAGCAUCAUUAAUAUGUCCUUCAGCACAGGAAAUGGUGUUAAUCUGAUUUAAAUAGUCAAUAGACCAUAAGCUAAUCUGUCUCAUCAUAUUAGAUGGCUUCCUUCACUGUUCAACAUUUCACAAACUUUUCUAGAACCAUAGUUUGUCUGCGCAAAAAAAGAAAGGACUUGCCAGGCACUUCCUCUUCUGGCGGUGAAAUUGUCCUAGUAACAGAUCAACAAUGGAACGAAAAACAGCAAGAUUACGCCCAAGUACAAUCCUGACAACUGCUGGGCAAUAAUUUAGAGAAAGGAUUCUUUAGAAGCUACCUACAUUUCCAAUAGUUGUGCAAAAGUAAAGUUUGGAAAUAACAGGGGACUGAUUUUCCAAGCAGACAACACAUCUGAGAUCAGAAGAGCAUGAGCAUUGGAACUUUCAAAUCGACAGCUAAACCAUGCACGCAUAGGACUUCCGAGAUUUGUGUUGUGAAAUAACUGUGUCAAGUCCGUCCCUUUUCAAAGCACUCUGGCUAAGUUAUUGCUCGCUAAACAGUUUAACUGCCAGAGAAAAGACUUUUCUAUGCGUCCUAAUAAACUGUUGGGGCAGCAGAUAUGACAUAAAGAAACAAAAGCAUUCAAUUUUGACAAUCAUUCCACCUCCAUAAUAUAGCCAUGCAAUCUCUCAACUUUUGACAAUUAACAAGGAAUCUAAAUUGCCUUUCUGGAUUCACAUAAUUGAUCAUUCACAUCCGCUAAAGAAAAUGACACAGGCCGAUCAGAACUUGUGGCCUUCAACCUAACCGGUUCCCUUUAGAAGAUAGAUUCUCUUUCAAGCCCGACUCCUAGGAACAUGGAGGGCAAUAUGGCAAAGGUUAUAAUGCAUGUCUCCCAAAAGAAUUAAUUUGCAGUUGAUUUUGAAGAUGUAUACGUCAGUACGUUGCAUCCAAGCAUAAAUCAAUGGGCUUUCAUCGAAAAGACUAUAUAACUACCUCAGAAAAGUAAUUCUUAAGACAAGCCAACUUAAAAUAUGAGUAGGCAUAUGUAUUGAACCACAAUAUGUGAGGAGUAUCAUAAGUAUUGAACCACAAUAUGUGAGGAGCAUCAUGAGAUAGAAGCUCAUAACUACUACACACAAAUCAUUCCUGAAAAGAAAGGAGUUUAGCCUAAAGAUUCUCAGCUGCAGUAACCCACCCCAUUUCUUUUAUUUUCCCCUCACUUCAUAGUCUAAUUAAUCAUAACCAGGUAGUUUGAGUUUAAAAUAGAUCUAAAAGGUCUACUCUGGGGAUUUUGUAUAUGAAUUUUAACUACCAUGAUCGCACUAGACUUCUAUCUUAAAUCAAAUUACAUUUAUAGACAUUAUUCCAACCCAUAUUCUACAAAAAAAAGUACCUUAAAUUGCAUAUAUUUAGUUUCUAAGAUUAACUUCCAUCUUUUGUAAAGUGCUUCUUUUCCUGUUUGGCCCUCUGAGGCCUAACUGCCUCACUAGUUGUUGCUUAGUUCAUGGUUCCUAUGAAUGAAGUAGGUAGUGUGCUUAUCUAUUUCUCAAAAAAAAAAAAGAAAAAAAGAAGAAGAAGAAGAUUAACUUGCUAUCUCAAUAGGGAUUUCAUUAAGCCAACCCCUAGGAAACCACUUCUACACUGCUAGGUUGUUGCUGAAAUUGAGCCAAGAAUAUUGCACAAAAAUCGCAUAAGAUUGUAUUGAACAAAAAGACAAAAUACUCUCUCUCCCUCUUCGUCAAAUACACAAAGGACGAAAUUAGUUCUUGUAAUUCAUGAGAGAUUAUAAGGUUUUGGCGGAAAGCUCUACGUGGUAUAUUUCCAACUUGCUACUUCCGUAGAUCACUUUGUAGAACCAUCAAGCUUUUAUAAAUUGUCAAUCAAGUCAUAUGGAACUUACUUGGUAUUGAGCAGAAAAGAUAAAUUAUCUUAACUGUUCUUUCUCUUAUAAAAAGUGAUGAAUCAAAUGUUAUACCCACUAAUAACACUGAACUCCACUUUACAAGUAUUCAUUUCGUCUCAGAUAUGAAAUUUGACAAUGACCACAUGGAACCAGGUGUAGUCAGCAUCUUACACAGUAACGACAUAAAAAGAAAUAUAUUAAAAAGAAGCCUCAGAGGAGAGGCAUACUAUCCUAAAUGCAAGGGAAAUGAAAAGCAUAGAUCAAAGGUCACGGUAUCUCAAUAUCCAAGUAUGGAAAACUUGUGUGCCUCCUAUACCUGGUUAGUCCACAAUACAAUUGUCUAGAUGCGAGGGGUCCAUGUUAUGGAGUGUCUUGAAUUCUAGGACCUGAACCUAUUGUGUGAAGCACUAUGGCAUAUUUUGAGACAAAUGCAAUCUGCAAGACUCUCUGGAGGUUUGUGAUGGAAAUGAAGAACUGGUGCGGGCCCAUUCCGAUUUGGAUUAGCAUUUAUUAGCCCUAUAGAUAUUGGAAGUUAGGGUUGUUCGAAAUUAUGUCCAUUGUAGUCAGCUUCUGAGUUUGAGAGAUCUCUGUGUAUUGGGAUUACGGUUGUUGAGAGAGCCAAUUUUGGCAGACUUGAAAUAUUUCUCCGUAGUGAACUUCUUUUUUGUAAUCCAAUUCUAUGUUUGGUGUGUCACGGAUAAUAGUUAGGAUUGGACUGAAUUUUUUUAUUAGAAAAACUAUUUAAAUUAAAUUGAUUUCACUUUUCAAAAUUUCUUUCUUAAAAGUUAUUCAAUGUAUAUUAUUAAGCUUGUAUUCAAAAUAUAAUAUUAAAUUCACAAUUUGAAUUCAAACUUAAACUCAAAAGUAAAAUUUUAAAUUCAAAUUGUUCUUUCAAAAUUGAAUUUCUUAAAAGCUCGAAUUCAAUCUUGAACAAAUUUCACAUGCCACCAAAGAUAUCACAUUAGUUAUAUCACAAUAUACUUAGAUUUGAAUUCAAAUUCAAACUUUGAAUUAAAAUUUUAAUUCAUUUUUUUUUGAACUUGUAAUAUAAAAUUUAAAUUUUAUAAAAAAACUCUAAUUUACUUUUAAAAUUUGAAUUUUAAUUAGGAGGAAAAGAUGUACAUGAUGUGAGAGGAGAAUGGUAGAGGUAGGAGAAAAGAGAGGUGAAGUGUAGGUCGAAGGUCUUAACUAGUUGAGGUUGCUAGCUGGGAUUGGGCAAUGAUACAAGGUUUUGCAGAGUGCCCAAGUCCAAUCUGGGAUAAUCCCGACCCACACCACGGGAAUAGCUAAUCCCAUGUGAGCAGGAUUGUUGGGCAAGACCGGAUUACAAUAAUCUGAUCCUAUCUCACACCAAACAUCGGAUUAAAGCUAGACUGGAUUAAUUUCAAUCCAAUCCCAUGAAAUCCGGUCCUCCAAAUAUGCCCAAAGAGUAAAAGCUAUAGUCUGGCAAAACCUUAAGGAGAGUUGCAGGCAACUGUACCAUAUUCUUCAAACAUUUUACAGUCAAGAGCAUAGGUUGAAAGAUAGAAGGAGGUUACAAUCGCUACUAAAGGAAUUAUCUAACAGGAUUUGUGGUACUAAAAAGUGUUUCGAGUCAUUACAACAGAAGCAUACUAUUAACAAAUUUUUGUACUAUAACGACAUCAAAGCCAACUGCAUAGCUCACAUGGAUGACAUAAUCUCAGACACCUUUUCCUUCCGUCUAAGUACAUGUUACCAAGGUACCAAGCUGAUACACGAUAUUACUCCUAGAUGAUCUCCAAGGAUACAUUUCUUACUUCUUCAGUAAAAGAAAAACACUUACAACUUUGUAACAGGUUAAUACCUAAUGCCCAAGGAAACCUGUGCCAAUGUUCAUAAUUUGGUAAUCCCUCAGACAGUUAAGACGAUAUUUUCGUAGUGAAAUGCUAUUCCUCCAUCAAAAAAAUGCAGAGUAAAAAGAUGACUAUAUGUAACGGGACAUGCUCCAUAAAAAAACUAAAGGCAUAUUCACAGUUAACAUCACAUCACAGAAUAAUAUGGUCGAUACUCAAAAUAGUCAUAUAACAGGAAUUACUUAACAUCCACGGUUAGCACAACUCUGUGCCACCAAGACGCGGAGUAGAUGCUUACCUCCCACUACCAUGUUUAAGUCAAUUCUAUAAGAAAUUAUAUACGGAUAUUACAACUAGAUAGGGACAUCAAUGUGACAUGGCACCAUAAAGAGCAUAAAAAGGAAGAAAAAGAUAUAUUGGAAAUUUCACAUACCUUGCCACUCAGUAGGCUAUGGUAUAGAUUAGGAGCAUCGCCUUUGUUCUCAGAUUAAAAAUCAAAUUUAGAUAACCUCUUAGGUGAUCAUCUCUUCAUUAAUCUUAUCAUUAAACAAGAACGUUAAGAAAACAAAACAAAACAAAACAAAAACAACAACAACAACAACAGCAACAACAAUAAAGAAACACUUGAACUUAAACAUCAAACUUUGUCUUAAUCCUUUUUGUAGCUGGCACAGGGAAAUUGAUACUAAACAUAAGUACCUUACAUGCAUAACACUUCAAAAUACAAGAUAUGUAUUUAGAGCAAUAUCCGAUGCAGCUAGAAUAAAAGGAAAGAUCAGAAAAAAUCCCUGACUGCCACUCAAAGGUUUCAAUAGUUCACAUCACAGGUGUUAUAAAAGAAAAUACAAACAGUUUCUAAGGUUGCAAAAAAGUAGCAGACAGGUGAUAGGUUGCUGUUAAAAAUCGAUCUCAAACAUGGUGUAGUAAUGCGACAUAAUACUGAAGUUGUCCAUGUAAUAAAGGAAUGGCUCAAUUGAAGAUUACCUUUAAGUACUUGAUAAUAAGCAUUACUAAUGAGUUCUAAAACUUAUAUUCGAUAAUUUUUUCUUAUAAUGUCUAAAGUUGUAAAACUUACGCUUGAUAAUGUUUCCUCAAAACGUCUAGAAACAUCUAUGCAAAAACAAAGAUACUACAUCAGGACGGUUAUUACUUCUGGCCACCCAAAAGAAUUCCUAAUUGUCAUACAUAUAUUCUCAAAUUCUUUCGGAAGUUGGGAAAGCUCUAGUUGAUUAGUCAUGUUUAUUAGGGGUGAACGACCCUAGUAUUUUGAAUAUAUUACUCAGAAUUCGAUAGCAACGAGCAUUUCGACAACAACGACGACCAGAUUCCAGCUUAUAUAAGAUGUUUUGAACAGCCUUGUCAUUCUGUAACUGGGACCUAAAUUUCGAGAACACCCAGUGUUUGAACAAGAACUGAUAAUCAAGUUCCUAGUCAUACCUUGAUUCUUUUUGCUUUUCAUUUGAGAGAAUGCAACCCACGUAACAAAUAUAUUGCCCGUCCGCCAAAUCCGUUUUGCAUAUUUUCAGAAUUAGAAUCCAGUGAGCAAAUGAAAUGAACCAACAAAAGAACUAAUAACCAUCGUUUUUCGCGAAAGGCCAUUAUCCAGUUAUCGUCCCACAAGCUGUCCUGUGUCAUCAUCAGAAAUAAAUAGCACAGAAAAUGGUAGGAAUUAGCCUCCGAAGUAGUAGUGAGACUAUAACUCCAAAAAGUGAGGAAUUGGGAGGCAAAGUGGAAAACACUUACCAUGAUCCGACGAGGUUCCUGGAAACUGCAUUAUGAGAACUGAAACUCUGGUACGGUACUCCCGGGCGGCCGGGGUUGGUGGCGGAGAGGGGAGAGAAAGAGGGAGAGAGAGAGCGAGGUUAAAAGAACUCCCGGUCAGGUGCCGACCAUGCCUUGACCGCACGGGCCGAGAGCAGGCUGGGCCCCGUUGGGAUGCAAGUUUGGGCCUAGUGUCGCCCAGCCCUUCCUUGCCCGAGUUAUGCUGCCCGGCUGGGUUCAAAGAAUAGGCCAACAUAUGGGCCAUAAUUUGUCCCAAAAGGCGGGGCGAGUCGUCAUACGCAUUGGGCUGGAAAUCUUCCGUUAGCUUGAACCGCGGGGGGUGAGGGGGGUGUGCCGAAAAAAUCUGGGCCCGUAGGCCUCGCAUUCGGGAAAAUGAUACUGCAUAGCCCUGGAAGGCCCGAACAAACAAUGAAGCCCGUCGUGGCCGCGGACCAUCACAUCAGAAAGGUGGCGGGGAAAGGAGCGCGGGCCCCGCUUUGUUAGAAUGGCCGCCCGUUCUAUGGCUAAGCUGGGGGUCGCCAUUGUGAAUAUACUCUGCACGUCCGGGCUUUAUUAGUUAGUUACCAGCCCUUGAUAGCCACGGGCCAACGUAUCUGGGCCUGGCCCAGAGUCAUUAGCUGGGCCGGCGUACCGGGCCAGGCUAAAAUUAAUUAAUUACGCCUUACAAUGCGGCCCAGUGUUCUUCCAUUCAACAGAGACAACAGGAUGUGGGCCCAAAAAUGCUCGGCUGAUGGGCCCAAUCCAGACAAAACUUGGUUGUACGGGUGGAUGUUCGGGUGAUCUGACCCAGAUAGGGCUUGGGUCGGAAUCUCAAGUCCCCACCCCUCUUCCCAGUUCCCGGUUCCCACUUCCCACUUCCCGGUUCUCAUCCCUGCAACGGAGUGCUUACAGCGUACGUACGGUGGUCUUCUGCAGCUGCUGCUGCACCUCCGCCUCUGGAUCAAUCGAGAGACUCAGACUCUCUCUCUCUCUCUCUCUCUCUCUCUCUCUCUCUCUGGGGGCAUGGACAUAGGGUUGGGUUCCCGUUGCUCCGGCGGGCCCGAGAGAUCCUCCUCCUCCUCCUCCUCCUCCUCCGGGGCCCCCGUGGCGGCGGCGGCGGAGGUGGAGGAGGCGGUGAGGAGGGAGGUGGGGGCGGACUGGGACGACGAGGAGGCGUGGACGGCGCGCUUCAAGGCAUUCAGCGGGCAGAGGUCGGAUUGGGAACCCAAGUUCGUGUUCUGGAGAAAUCUCAUCCUCGACGUCGCUCGCCGCCUCGGCCUCUGCAUCGUCCCUGCCUCCCAGGUAAGUUUCGAGACGAAAAACACCCGGAACCUAACCGACAGAUGAUUUUUUUUUUUUUUGUUGGUUCCUUCCUUCGCUUGUGAUUUCUAUUAAAGUGUAUCUCAUCUGUUCGCGAGGUCGUAGUCCGGUUAUUGAAUUGUUAAGUCUUAAAAACUCUGCAAACUUGGUUGGAGGGCUAGGGUUGGAAGGGUUUUGUUAGACUUGUAGCUGAAGCCGCGUUAUGGUACCAUAUUCUGGGGAGAAUUGAUUGGAGAGCUGUUAAACCACCCGAUGUAGGGUGGAAAUGAGCUAUCGACGGAAAGGAGAACAAAAGGGUUGUACUACUUUUAGCAAGAGAGCAAACGAAAUUCCUAGCGUGUUCCCCCUUUCGGGGACCUUGAUUUCUUCUCAAUGGGGAAAAAGUUUGCUGCAAUAGAUGCUUGAUUACCUAUUCUAUUACAAGGACUCGAGCCCUUGAAAUUGGAUUGAUUUCUUUUCGACAUAGGAUAGCACUUCAUAGGAAAAGCAGUUUACCAUCUAUUAUGACCUUCAUAGAGCAUCACAAGUUGCUGUGGUUCUUUUUUGUUUCCCUUUGGUAAAAGAUGAAUUCCAAUUUUUUAUACUGUCGUGCACUGAAAUGAGGAAAUAUUUAAUGUCAAUUCUCUCCUCAUUCAUAUUUUAAUUUUAAUAGGUGAAGAAUUCUUGGUUUUCCCGAGGAGGUUUGACGCCUUUGUGCAUGGAGCGAGUUUUGGUGAGUUCCUUCCUGGUGCUUAGUUCUGGCAAAGCAUCUUUUGCUUGUAUGUUUUCUUUCUCGAUUCAACUUAGUUAUAGAUGCAUCUUGAAUUAGUAAUGUAUGUUGCUAACAGCAGAUAGCAAAUUGAUACAGCUUGUCACCAAAUGCAUUUUAAUUUCGUUCACCUCCCGGUAUUCUCUGUAUGUUGGACUUUUGACAAUCUAGUUUUGUUGGCCUCAAGAGAUACCUUUCGGUUUUGCUGAAACUGGCGCUCAAGACCAACAUCCAAAUUCUUUACUAUUUUAAAUGUCCCUGUCAAUUGCAAGAAUACUUAAGACUCUACAUGAGUUUGAUUGUCUGUAUCAAACUUUUCUCUCAUUUCGUCUAUGUAUGUUUGAUGCCUUCUUGAACAAAAGGUCAUAUGUUUUGAGGUGUUACUCUUUCUUUGCUGCCUUAUUUUCCCCCGUUUUAUUCAUUUGCAGCAUGAAAUGCAUGCCAGCGGUGACAUUUUACUAAGAGGAGAUCUGACUGAUCCAACCAGUGGGCAUCUAUAUCGGAUAUUUAGAAGAGUGAGGCAAAUGGUUGGUACGUUUGGAUCAUCAGCGCUGCAAGAUAACUCAGAAGAUAUUCUCAUUCUAAAGCCACUACUUCAAGUACGUCAAGUCAUAUUCACACUUUAUUCAUAUUCAGAACAUUUGACUUAAUUCGUUCUGUUGAUUAUAUGUCUUAAUUUUGGCAGGAAAGAGCAGCUGAUGUUAUCAAGAUUAUAAGUGAGGCCCAUUGGAUUUCAACCUGCGUCAUUACACUUAGUAAGUUCCGGAGCUUCUGUAAGGGGCCUGACGAGGCUUCUGCAGUCCUAUGUUAUAUAUCUGGCUGCGGGAAAGCACAUUAUCUUGCAAUAAGAAAGGACGACUUUAUCGAGGUACAACUGUUUGAAAUUUUUGGAAUUUUCGGGAAUUCAAAAUGAAUGAGAUUUUUCACUAGUACAUAAUAUGUUAAUGCGUACAGUUUUUUCCAGGACUAUACUUAGUUCAGUUGCUGUCUUCAGGGCGUGAAGCUGUCGCUUGUGGAAGCAUCUGUUCCUGCUAUCUCAAGGCUUGACUACGAUGUUUUGCAUCUGACAUGGACAACAGAAAAGUUGCAGCAACAACUUGAAGUGCUGGAUCGCCGCUGGGAGAUGUAUGUGCCAGUAUACUGAAUAUUAACACAUAAACUAGCCCAUUCUAAGAAUAAGCUUGUUCAUCCAUCGGCAGCAUUUUAGCCCUUAAUAUUCUUUCAUGACCAAAAUUUCAGAAGAAUGUUGUAUUAAGUAUCACUAUGUGAGCAACGGACAACCUGAAAAAAGCAAAAAACAAAAAACAAAAAACGGAAAAGAAAGUAUGAGUGUACUCAUAGUUGCAUGCAGAAAUAUAUAUACAUAUAUAUUAAUGAGGUCAUUCCUUGUCCUUAAGAGUUGUCUAUCUUAGAGACUUUUUUUUGGAAAGGAAUAAAAAAUCUUGAGACUCUUAAUAGUAGAUAACUGUGACUUUUUUUACAUCUGGUGUGAGACAUAGAUUUUUGUGUAUGUUAGAAAGUGUGUGGCAAUUAAAAAGCAUUCCUCUCUGAUAAACUGUUAAGUUCUCUUGCAGUUCAAGAAAAAUGGCGUUAGCCUGUUUCAAGUCAGGGAAUAAACAAGCGUCUUACAGACACAUAAGGCAAUGCAAGUUGUUGCAAGAAAACAGGGUGAAAUGCAUAUCACUGGUGGAGAGGGUUGACGAAGUUCUUUGUCUCAUUGCCAAUGCCGAGUCCACAAAGAAGGUAGAUAUAUCACUUGGAGAAUGUGUGCCGCUGUAGCAUAUGAGCAAAUGAUGCUUUUUAUUUCUGUUCAUAAAAUACUUGGUGGGAACUUAUUAUAAACUGUAAUUUGCCUAAUGUGUUCAUGAUUAGCUUCACAGUUGCACUGAUUAGCUUUAUUGUUAAUCAGGUUUCUGAAGCUAUACAAGUUGGUGCUAGAGCAAUUAAGGAGCAUAGGAUCAGUAUAGAGGAGGUUCACCACCACCUCCAAGAGCUUGACGCAGUUGUUGCAGCACAGAAGCAAGUUGAUGCAGUGUUAGGUAACUUAUUGCUGUAUACUUUGCUUUGCGCUCAUAACAGUUUGUUUAUUGAUUGUGAGAAAUUGGACCUCCUAUAGUUCUAUAUGCCUUCAACAAAUUUGGGUAAUCUCGUUCAAAAUUAUUUUCCUUCAAAAACCUUCCUAGAGACCUUUGCCACUGUAACUUAUUGAUGGAUUAUUUCUAGAGUCUGUUUUUCUCUUGACAAAUGUGAAGAAAGUGCAAAAACUACAUCAAACUUAAUUUAGCACUGAUCCCAACAUAUAUUGCAGAAGUUGUGCCACUUCAAUCAGUGGAUAUUGAAGAAGAAGACAUUGAAGCAGAAUUCCAGAAGCUGGAAAAGGAGCUUGAAGAAGCUGCCCCCGAGCCAGAAGCUCGGGAACCAAUGGCAAAACAGGGGGAGGAAGCUGGACCACAACAAUCGGUCGACUCAUUGAGCGAUAAUCUGUCAAAUCUCCACCUCGAAGCUGCGUAGUUGACAGGACAUUUUUGUAUGUGGAGGAAACUUUUCUGCCCAAUAUAUUUUUGAGAAGGAGAAUACUCGUUCCAGGCAUGUAUUUUUUGUCUUCAACAUUUGUAAGUAUUAUUAUGUGAACUCUGUGCAAAUUUGACUAGCCAAUCUUUGGACUUCUAGUUAUGGGAAAAAAAAAAUAGAGAAAAGAGAAGAGAAGGCAAGCUGACAGAACUGGUUACAACUUACAACAGCCUUUAAUGCCACUGUUUUUUUUUUUUUUUUUUUUUUUUUUUUUUUUGUUUGAAAGGAACGUUAUAAUGAGAGGAUGGAAGAGACAGCUAAUGACAAGACUAGAAUUAUUGGCAGGGGCUAUAGUUCUCGCUUCCUCUAAAAACCACCGACUCUAUGCAUAAUUUAACUCCUGACCGUUAAGGCGGGAAAUAUAGUAACCUAUCAUAUUGGCACAUAAAAGAAUAGUGCCUGAAAAAUAGUAAUAAAGUUAUAUAUCCUUGCGCCGACAACAAAGGGAACGGGUCAAGGAAGGCACAUCUAAUUAAUAUAUAUAUAUAUAUAUAUAUAUAUAUAUAUAUAUAGUCCGGCUACUAUACUAUUAUGAGUACGAUCGCCCUCGUACUCAUAAGUUGUUUUCAAUGAUAGAGCUUCCGAAUCGACGAUCCACACCGUUAAACGUUAUUUACAGCAUUUAAAACUUCUAGAAAUCAAAUUUUAUAAAUUUUCGACAUCAUUUACCGUACGAUCAAGAGGUCACAAAUUUUACAAUUUUUAACGGCCGGUAUGAGAUACUUGCUAGUUUAACGGUGUAAAAGAAUCGGAAUUUGUUGAAUUUUUGAUAGAAAAUUCUAUUCAUUACAUAGAUAAAGAUCAAUAACUCCGAUCUUGAACUGAAGGAUCUGAUCAUCCUUUUUUAGGACGUCGUUCGAUUUUGACCGUUCAUUUUAUGCCCACUUGAUGGACUUUAUUAUGAUUUCGAAAAUUUACGAAAUUUAUUUUCUAAAAGUUUCAAAUACUCUAGAUCAUAUUUAACGGACGUCGAUUCGGAAGCUUCAUCAUUGAAACACUUAUGAGUACGAUGGCUCCCAUACUCAUAAUUAGUAAAUAGCCAUGGCCUGUAUAUAUAUAUAUAUAUAUAUAUAUAUAUAUAUAUAUAUAUAUAUAUAUAUAUAUAAAUAACAGAGUUACCAAAAUAAGAACAGAAAUCAAUAAAGUCCAAUCUUUUAGAAUAAAAAUAACUCAGCUGCGAAAACAAUGCGUCAGAACAGUAAAUCUUUGUAUGAUCGAGUAGAACAUGAUCUGUUCAACAGAUUUAUCUGCUCUAAAUGUGUUGUUCAGGAAAAGAAAACCCAAAGUGAUUCACCGUAGGAGAAAGGGAGCGACUUGCUCCAACCUCGAUUGCUAAAUGGAGAAUACCUCAAAACAAAGAAACAGCCACUACACGAACUGGCAACUGUGUCCAUCAACAGUAAUAAUAUUGAUAGAUUAGCCACCGAAAUAAAAACAUUAUUACUAUAAGAGCCUAGGAGCAUAGGUUGAAGUCAAGCCUACUCCGACAAAGGAGGGGGAAAAAACAGUAGAUGGGAAAAAGAAAACGGAAGGGAGAAAAAGAAGAAGAAGAAAGCCGAUCGAUAACUGAAGAAGGUGAUGAGCAACAAACAAUAUGAAGAGAAAGUACGUCAAAUAACAGUUUACUAAAUUACAAUAACAAAACUUGAAAAGGAUUUAUCCUUUAUUACGAAACGGGGACUGCCAGCCAAGGUUGCACUCUCAAACCAUUUGAUCUCUGUCAUUUACAUAACAUGCAGCCUGAAACUGUCUAAAAAUUUAUACAACCUCCAAGCAUCCCAAAAUCCUCUGCUUGCACAGCUUUGGCGCAAAUGGCGCAGAAGUCAAAGCCCAGGCCAUCGUGUUCGUGGAGAUCAUAUGGCCAUUCAAAGUUCAGAGAGCAGUCUAGUAUACAAAAUUCUCCCAAAUAGUGUGCAACUUUGACAAGCUGCACAAAAACCAUCAAAAGGAGGAUGCCUCAACCAUAACCUGCAACAGAGGAAAUAUAUUGACGGGGCAUGGCAUGAUUUAGUUAAGUAUAACCCAAUAGCACAAUUUGAAUGCCGCUUACUUUGUUACCCUGGUUAGUCAAGUUCCAUUUUGGUUACCGGAAUUAGCACCUCCACUUCCACUACUGUGCAGCGUCUGAUUACUUUGAGCCAAGGCAGAUGGUGCAAAAGGUGUUUUCUGUCCCCAGCAGUAUGAAAACCAUUAUUUGAUUAUUAAUAUGGGAAAACAGAACACAAGAUCAUACAAGCAUUUGUACAGAAACACUGAAGAUGGUCCACAGAUGAUGAAAAACAAAUUAAUUUAAGAGAUUGGUUUCAGUAUAAGUAAAUCAAGUUGAAGCAAAAUGAGCAAGCAACGAGCUGGAGUCUGAACCUGCGAAUCACUGGAACUCUUUUUACGCUCCAAGUUCAUGCUAUGCUCCCGAUGUUCUUUACAGUUCAAUGGAGUAGUUGUAUCUGAUGCAGGUACAGGUACUGGAUUAGCCAUUACAGCAAGGCCAGAAAAAGAACCUAAUUGUGGCACAAUACGGGGCACCGCGGAUGGAAUUGCCCCCAGUCCAGGUAUUGCAAACAUUGGGAGAUUGCCAGGUCCAGCCAUUGCAGGCCGAACUUGAGCUCCUGGAACUGUGGGGCAAGGGAACUGUGUCCCACAGUGUAUCGGUGGGACUGGAAUUAAAGGGCAAUUUGGAGAACUACUCAUGUCAAGCGGACCUAUUCCGUAUCCCAAUCUAACGUUCAGUCCCAUGCCAACACCCAUUUGGGCAUAAUGAGGAGCCAUGGAUGGCAAGUGCAUCUGUUGCAUCCCAGGAGGUAGCAUCAUCGGAGGCAUGCAUAGACUACCGCCCAUUGACAUCAUCUGUGUAAGAAGAAUACAAAAUUUUAGUUAGGGAAGAUAGAUUUAUAAACAAGCUAGGCAAGACAUUUCUUAAUGGAAGGCAAAGAUAUUACCUGAACUUGAAGCUGAAGGGUUUUGAGAUACUCAAUCGCCUCAUCGAGCAUUGAAGCUUUAUCCACCUUAUAAAGUGUAUUUGAUGUUAGGCAAAAUCUUUACCAUAUCCCAAGCUGCACAAGAAACUUUGACAAGUAAGAGGCUGCUGAAACAUAAGGAUACCUUGUUACAGUUUGGUAUUAGUUCUUGCAAUGCACGCAUCUUCUCAUUGAUUCUGUCCCUACGCCGCUGCGUGUCAGCGAAGAAACCAGUUGUUAGAGCUUUCCACACCAGACUAAGAGAAAGAAGAAUUAGUAGGAACGUAGUUAAUUGCAUUAUGCACUCACCCUUUCUGACAAAUUAUGCACUUCAGCAGCACGAGUCCUCUUAGCCUUUGUGGCUCGAACAUUAGCAGGUCUUUUUAGCCCCACAGAUUCAUCUUCAACAUCCUAUAUAGACAUCAAAGAAUUUUGAAGCACAUAGUCGAUAAAGAAAAAGUUGAUCAAUUAAAUACAGUAUAUUUUCUAAUUUCUUGUCACUUACUUCGCUAUGAUUACCAGAAUCCUCUCCCUCGCAAUCCUUCCUCUUCAAUCCAUGUUUAGGAUCAUCAGAUGCCGCCCCAGCACUAUUGCCAGAACAUACAGAGGAAGAUGCAACAAUUGUUUCAGGACCCUUUUGAGGUGCAAAACCUGAACCCUGCUGAUUAAUGCAAUUACUAUUCGCCACUGCAGUGUGAUUAUUAUUUUUUCUGGGCAUCUCUUGCUGACAAAGAGCCUGCGUAUGCUCGAGUGAGACCAUUUCUUUUGGAGUAUUUGCUGAUGAUGGUCUCAACUCUUUAAAGCCACCUGUAGAUUGGAUUAAUGUAGACUCUGGAGGAUUGGAGCUAGUUGGUGCAGUGAAUGCCUUCUCAUUGCUUCUCAAUCUCUCCAUGCUCUCUAGAUUGGCUUUGGCGAGAGAAACGGGCCUUGAGAAAUGGGAGAAGUUCAGCAGAGGCGAAGUGCCGCUCGGUUGCGGCAUUCUAGAGUGGGUCACAAUGCUACUUGCGGUGCCAAAAUCAGUUGCUUUGGACUUCACAGCAUGACCUGAGUUCAGGUGUUGCUGAGACGACUCGAGUAGCUGGCCGCUCCUACUUGUAAAACCACCUGACCCUCCUAUAACAGCUUUCGAAGGAGCAUGAUUGUUCUCCAUGCUGCUCGAACCUCUAACAAUCUGGUCGGUAUUGUGAGAGAUAGAUACAUUGUUCGGAUUAAGCCCUGAGAAUUCAGCUAGAAACUCCGAGCAGAAAUCGUUAGACAGAGAGUCAUCAACCAUGGGGUAGUUGAUCCACGGGACAGAAUCAUCAUCGUCGUCAUCUUUAUCAUUGAGAGGAUCAGAAGUGAAGAAGUCAUGACGGACCGUAGGAUCGCCUGAUUCGAAAUGAUUGAGCUGCUUCGGCAAGAUCUCAUUUUUGAUAUCCUUGUCUUGGAAUCUGUUGUUGUAGGAGGGGUUGAAGGGAGUGGGAACAAAGCUUCUUUUGGGCCUGCUGGACUGCCCCUGCAUCACGAUCUGACCGUCCUCCCACAACAGCUCGACAAAGUCAUUAUCAGGCCUGUAACUCCGCAGAAAACAAUAAUAUAUAUAUAUAUAUAUAUAUUUAUACGAUCUAAGAAUAGGAUUACGGAAGAACAAGAUAAAUGGAAAGACGGCACAAAUGCGCGAAUUGUACUCACAUGAAGGAUGAACGAUCGGACGAGCUAUUGUUGGUCAUCUUUUGUAUUGACGAGUAGGAUCGAGCUUUACUUUAGCUGCUGCUGCCCGAUGGAAUUCAGUCAGAAAGUGGCACAGCUUAACGGAGAUAAAAAUUUUUACCCGAAAAGAGCCGGAAAUAGACAGGGACCUGAAAGGAAAAUUUUGAAUGUUUAAUUCGCAAAAAUCCUUAAAACUGGCCGCGUUCUAUCCACACCAGUGUGCUUGACCUCAGCAAAAAUUUCUGAAACAGAGUAGAAAGUGGGCAUUCCUUUUCGCAAAGCUGCCCCUUUUCGUUCAAUCUAAACCAUUUUAACAGAAACAAAAAGUUAGAUUCUUUAAAAACAAAUGGGGAGUGGAGUACUAGUAGCACCUUAUUCUUAUCACUAAAAAAGUUGCAGCUUAUAUAUAGUGACUCAUAGGUACAGAGAAAUCACUAAUAAGAUCAACAAAAUGAUAUCCAGGUAUGGCAAAUGGGCUCCAAACAUAAACACCGCUUACAGGAACGCUUCAUCCGGAACCAUAAAGCUUCUGAACCGGAUGAAUGAAGGGAACAGCGUUAUAAAGCGACCUCCUUUAGGGACAAUCUCCGAAACCCAUCACCAAAAGAACCAAAAAAUCGCAAGAGGAGUCGAAAAACAGAGAGAAACAGGCCACUUGGGGGCUUCUACUUCUCCCAAACGCGUCGGACAACAACUUCCGCAGCCGAACAUCAGGAAAAGCAACAUGAACCGUACAGAGUAUGCACCCUAUCAAACCUCACCGCCCAAAUUAUCAUCAUCAUCAUCAUCAUCAUCAUCAUCAUCAUUAUUAUUAAAGCUCAGUAGCCAUUUUCGAGGGAGCGUUUGAUCCCAAAACCAAAACGGGGAGAGAGAGAGAGAGAGAGAGAGAGAGAGCGAGCAAGCACUCGAAGCGUAAGAUACAGCAGAUCAGUUGCGGUGUUAAGAUGUUACAUGCCUAAAAAGCAAGAAAUACAAAGGCGCUUGUCUGACGCCCAAUACACGGUAAAAGAUUUCUCAUGUCGAUGAAAACGGGCCAGAUCGGGAGGUCGGAAGAGUUAUCAUUUCCCAUCCUAGUUUUUUUUUGUCGGAUUAGAACGGAUUGAAAGCCAAUUAAUUUUUUUUUUUAUUCGUAAUCCUCAUUUACCACUGUAUAUUCAGGGCGAAUUAGAGAGUUUUAUAGAACUUUUGAUAGAUAGAUACGGAUCAAAGUAAAAAAAAGUAUUCUUUAUUUUUUUUUAAUAGAUCGGAGCGGAUUUAGUACGAGUUAUAUUUUUCAUGCUUUUGAUUUUAACUUACUGUUUUAUUCGGAGCGAGUCGAAGUGGGAGCCCUCCCAAUUCAAAUCCAUUUGCAUGCCUAUGAAUUCUAUCCCCUGUAAAUGUAUAUAUAUUUUUUCAAUAUAUUAUUCUUCUUUACUCGGCUACAGGAAUUAUUGGCCGAGGACCAAACAGAGGUUCCCAUCUAAUCGACACUGAUGGGGGACAUUCUUGCCAAUGGUUGGUCCACCAUGAACCAAUCUCCUGCACGCAGAUCUGAAAAUAAAUAUUUUUUCAGAAAUUUAUUUCAGAAAAAUAAAAAAAAACUCUGAAAGGAUCCUGGUCUGCAGCUGUGGUGCACUUGAUCUGGCUCAUAACUUCUGAGCGCGUUGGUUGGUUGCGCCUGCAGAGAAUCCUGGAGUGAGAAGGGAUAAGGUACAGUGUCCUCGUUCCAAAGAGUGAAUUGUGGCCCACAGCUAUUAAUAAAUCUAAGAGGUCCUCCUAUCUCCUUACCCUCUGCUGUCCAACCUUUGGCUCGCCAAAAUGUUACCUAAAAUAUGUGGUGCUGCUCCAUUCCUUUAUGUACCCCUCAUCAUUGGGGGAUUAAAGAUUAAAGAAUGAGAUCGACUUCUAUUAAGCUAAUCAACAGUCUUAACUACCUUUUAAAUCCCCACCAAGGAUAGAUUAUUUCCCCCCGCAAAAGAAAAAUAAAAAAAGGGUUGAUUGUUUAGAGCGUCCAUUAAAUCAAUUUGAAAGUAUAAUUAGUUUGUCCUGCUACGUACUCACAUAUAUAUAUAUAUAUAGAGGGAGAGAGAAAGAGUUGAACUAGAAUACUCUCAAAAGCACCAAGAGGGUGAUGUUUUCGAGUUUUUAAUUAUUGAAUGGAGAGAUGUAGGGUUUAAAUGAUGAUGGUAGGAGAUGGUAGGUAGAAUAUUGUUUGAUUCAAGAAGUAUUAGUAAUUAAGGAGUAGAUCUAAGGGCUAGAAACUUAAAAGCACUAAAGAGUUGGUACUUCUAAAAGUAUUCUAGCUCAAUUAUAUAUAUAUAUAUAUAUAUAGAGUCCGGCUACUAUACUCUUAUGAGUACGAUCACCCUCAUACUCAUAAGUUGUUUUCGAUGAUAGAGCUUUCGAAACGACAAUCCACACCGUUAAACGUUAUCUAGAGCAUUUAAAACUAUUAGAAAUUAAAUUUCAUAAUUUUUCGACAUCAUUUACCUUACAAUCAAAAGCUCACAAAAUUGACAAUUUUUAACGGCCGGUAUGGAAUACUUGCUAGUUUAACGGUAGAAAAGAAUCGGAAUAGGUUGAAAUUUUGAUAGAAAAUUCUAUUAACUACCUAGAUAAAAAUCAAUAACUCCGAUCUUAAAUUAAAGGAUCCGAUCAUCCAUUUUUAGGACGUCGUUCGAUUUUGACCAUUCAUUUUAUGCCCACUUGAUGGACUUUAUUAUGAUUUCGAAAAAUUACGAAAUUUAUUUUCUAGAAGUUUCAAAUACUCUACAUCAUAUUUAACGGAGUGGAUCGUCGAUUCGGAAACUCCAUCAUCGAAAACAAUUUAUGAGUACUAAGAGCCCACUACUCAUAAUAGUAUAGUAGCCCUACUCUCUUUCUCUCUCUCUCUCUCUAUAUAUAUAUAUAUAUUUGGAGUGACAACGACAUGUUCGAGACGGGCCACAAAAUAAAAUAAUUAAUUAGAUAGUACGGAUAAGUUUACAGACACCACUUAUUCACUUGCUGUUUAAUAACAUAUUAUUAUUAUUAUAUGAUUAAAAGCUGGCCAUUAUUAGACCUUGCUUCCUACUAAUCAACCAAAAUCUAAGCCUUGAUGUUUUCAUAGAGACCUCAAAGAAACUACAUAUAUUAGUUGCCCUUGUUUAAGAAUAUUUUAAUAGGACUAAAAUAUAUAGGGAGAGAGUGUGAUUCCAGUCCCGCACAUUGUUUUUUUUGCCCCAGUACGUUACGUACUAGAAGUGAGGAUUUCUUUCCUAAUACGUUACAAUAAAAUAAAAUUAUAAAAUACUUAUGAGUAAUAUAUGGUUUUGAAAAGAGAAUUGAUAUUAUCAUAGCAACAAUAUUUGCUACUGCCAAAAUUAAGCACAUACAUUGUAUUUAAUUAUAUUCGAAUUUUUUUGCUCUAGCAAUAUCAAUUUCAUUUGAAAAAGAUAUUGUUUAUGAGUAAUAAAUAUUUCGACAAAGUGUGGUCGGCUUUGUAAUUUUUUUUUUUUUUUGAGAGAUAGGUAGCACGCUACCCGCUUUAUUUAUUUUAGUUAGAAAUAAACUUAACUGGAAAUGUGAAUCAACUAGAAUUCGAACUUAGGUUUCGAAUACCAAUUAACCACCAAAUCUUUUUUCCACUUGCUCUAGGGACGGUCGGCUUUGUAACUUAUUCUGUGCAAUAUCGGAAUCACAGAGAGGCUUCUGCCCCCAUGGUAAAAUGCAGUCACUAAUAUUCAUGGCAUUAGGUGUCCACCCAAAAGCAUGGAAAUCUUUCCUCGAGUGACCCAUAUAGACGGCGCAAACCGCCGAGGCCCGAGGGAGGGGCAUGCAUGGCAAGCGCACCGCGCGUUUGCCGUUCCGUUCAAGUGCUCCAGCGACGAACAAAUUAAGUGUACGUAGAGGCUACUAUACUGCCAGCCAUGCGAUGGACUUUGCCUUUGUUCCAUUUUUCUAUUGUAGGAAUUCCUCAUAUUCAAGGCAGCUUCCCACAAACACCCCACCCAUACGACUAUGUCGCCUUUUGAAUCGACAGUUGAUUGGGCUUUAUAGCUACUUUCAUUCAAAAGUAAACCGAAUAGAAUAUUAGUCAAUAGGCCCGCACCCUCAGAGAAAGAAACUCCUAAAUCAUCACAAGAAAAAGAAGUAUGACGCUCUGUGUCUGACUCGAUUGGUCAAUUUUCCUUGCUGUUGCGGCCGGUGCUCGUUUGCGCGCGCGUCCCAAUCGAUUGAUAAGGAUUGACGUCAUUACAGGUUUAUGCGUCCAAUAGUGCAAUGUCCCUCGAGGGAGGAGUAGUAGAGUAUUGUAAAGGGGGCAGCAGUACUGCUCUUCGUACUUUGAACUGUGCCUAUCCAAUUGAACGUGUGAUAGAUACGGAAUAAGUACAAGUGGUACGUACCUAGUUAUACUUCGCACGUACCUUGCCAAAUUAACUAGAAGCACACCCCACCAAUUAAAUAAAUCAAUUUGAUCCAACACACUAAUCCCUUAAUCCACUCUUGGGGGCCGGCCAACUAAUGAUUAGUUUGCAUUUCAGUGGGUGGUCAGGUGAGAGCCCAAGUUUUUAUAAGAUCGAUGAAUAUUAAUUCAUCUGGGAGUACAUUUCUCGCGCGGUUUGGCCCAAACCUGCAUUGUCGAUUUUGUGCUCCCAAAUUAAAGAUGUGUAUAGUUGGUCCUGCUGUAUCCAAAGAGAAUGCGUAUCUAAUUCUAUUACGUUCGCAUAACAAUGUCCUCACAAACUUAAACAUAAGUAUAGUAGAACAAAUGCUCUUUUAUCAUCGUGUAUAUGGGUGGUCCAUACAUCGAGUUGUGUAUAUAUAGCUGGCUAAUAUUUGAUUCUAUAUAGCACAGCCGCACAAGAAUAUCGCAAUAGGGAAGGCAUCAAUAGCCUCUCAUUAACUGCAGGAUUAAUUCCCCAUUAUCGAAAAAUAUCAUAGGUUGGGAAUCCACUGAGAUCAAUCGAUGCUUUCGCAUGCAUGAUUAAUGUGCAUAAACUUUUCCCUUUUUCCUUAAGAAGCUAGGAAGAAUUUUUCCUUCUGUGCCUAAACAUUAACGAAUCCUAAAGACUGAAAAGAUGAUGUAUUAAAUUAAAUAUAAAGAGAUAUCAUCUAAUUAACUAAUAAACGCCGUGCAUCAGUGCAUAUAAUUGAGUAACUUACACCAAAUUAAGCAAACUCAUAUACGCAUGUCACUCAGCUAUCACAACACGGAUCAAUAUAUAAAGAUCUCGGGUAUAAAAUAAAAAAGUAUGUAGAAAGUGGAAAGUCUUUGUUUCAUCAAAAAAGCGAAGGUUUUUGCAUUACUUGCACAUGGUCUUGAUUAUCAUAUAUAUAUAUAUAUAGUUGAGCUAAAAUAUUUUCAAAAGUAUCAAGAGGUUGGUACUUUUGAAUUUUUAAUACUUGGAUGGAAAAAUAUAAGGUUUGGAUGAUGAUGGUAGGUGGCGGUAGAUGCAAUAGUAUUUGAUCCAAAGACUAGAAGCACCAAGAGAGUAAUAUACUUCUAAAAAUAUUCUAGCUCAAUUAUAUAUAUAUAUAUAUAUAUAUAUAANAAACUUCUAGAAAAUAAAUUUCGUAAAUUUUCGAAAUCAUAAUAAAGUCUAUCAAGUGGGCAUAAAAUGAACAGUCAAAAUCGAACGACGUCCUAAAAAAGGAUGAUCGGAUCCUUCAAUUCAAGAUCGGAGUUAUUGAUCUUUAUCUAUAUAGUGAAUAGAAUUUUCUAUCAAAAAUUCAACAAAUUUCGAUUCUUUUACACCGUUAAACUAGCGAGUAUUCCAUACCGGCCGUUAAAAAUUGUCAAAUUUGUGACCUCUUGAUCGUAAGGUAAAUGAUGUCGAAAAAUUAUAAAAUUUGAUUUCUAAAAGUUUUAAAUGCUGUAAAUAACAUUUAACGGUGUGGAUCGUCGAUUUGGAAGCUCUAUCAUCGAAAACAAUUUAUGAGUACGACGGUAAUCAUAUUCAUAAUAGUAUAGUAGCCGGACCCUAUAUAUAUAUAUAUAUAUAUAUAUAUAUAUAUAUAUAUAUUGUUGUAGUUACAUAUUCGAUCAUGCAGGGAAUAAGCAAAAUAUAUAAAUAGAGAGAGAGAGAGAGAAAUAAAGGAUGUGGGGACUGUUAGGCGCAUAUUUAUUAGUGGGGCCGAAACUGACUGGAGUGGAAGGAGACAACGGCGUUCAAGAAGCACGGUGUCAAUUGCUUCAUUCGCCACAUUAUCCGCAUAUGAAAACAAAUUACAAGUUAAAAUACUGAAUUUAUUUUUUAAAUAGAAUCCAAUCGCACAUUUUAAAAUUGAUGUGCUGAGUGAAAAAAAAACAAAAAAAGAGGCGGCACUGAUCCCUUUCUAUAUGCGCGCGCUUUACCCACAAUAUAUAUAUUUUUUUAGAAAGAAAAAAUAACAUGUUAUCCACCUAAUUUAUUUUUUAAAAAAAUAAAUUUAGCUGAACAUAUAAAUUAAUUUACCAAGUAUUAAAUUUUUUACGAUUUAUGUCAGGGACGAUCAGUUACCCACAAUAUAUGUUAAGAUGUAUA